rnacentral:lncRNA from 1 species
AGGAUGCGACGUCAACGGGAGCGCAGGGCCAAGAUACCCUUUAUAUCAAACCGUCUAUCCUGGAGCAGAAAAAUCCUGUCUUCAUUGCUAUAGCUACAGAUUCAGAAAUGAGCAUGUAACAAAUUCAGGCCAAAGAGAGGCAAUGGAAAUCAGAGAAACACUGUUCCUGAAAGCUUCUGUCACUCAAGAAUCCAUGAAACAUUCAUGAACUUCACAUCAGAAGCCAAGCCCAGAAAAUAUGGGUUUAAGGUUUGCCUAUAUGUCCAAUACAAGAGAAAAAAGAACAUUCCACUUCUUUAGAAGGUUCUACUUUGAUCUCCUGAUUUUAAUGCAACUUGUUACACAAGAUGAACCCAAACAUAUUUGACUUUUUAUUUUCAGAAAAGCUUAAUACAUAGUUUUGAAUAUGGAUUGUCCCACAGGAUAAAUGCAUGAAAAAAGUUGGAAAAGAGAAAUUGAAUUACAUCCUAAUUGUAGUGUUUUCUCAGGCAGAUCAAUUUUAGAAAGAGAACAUUGACUUGGAAAACUGAAGAGUAAUUAUUCUAAAACGGUUGUAACAGUUUACUCCUUUUAUGUUUGCAAACUUCCAGGAUUAGUGAGUUGCAUAAAGUCACAUAAUUUAUUGCGUUGGUGCAAAAGUAAUUGUGGUUUUUGCCAUUAACAAAACCGCAAUUACUUUUGCAUCAGCCUAAUAUAAGUGAAUAAAUUAAUAUUAGAACACAGGUCUAAUUAAAAGGUUCUGCUGUGUUGUGUCCUGUGAUAACACAGAAAACAAACAAAUGGAUAAUUACAGAAAAAUUUUGGAUAUAAAAUUAGCAGGUAAUUUUCUCCCUCCUUUCCUUCCAUCUUUCCAUCCUUCUUUGCUUCCUUUGCUUUCUUCUUUUCCUUUGUUUUUUGUUUCUCUCUCUCUCUUUUUUUUUUUUUUUUUUUUUUUUUGCAAUUUGGAGAAGGAAGUACUUUAAAAGAAAAGUUAAAAGGCAGACAUAGAUAGCAUGAAGCCUAAUUGCAAGAUCUUUUUCAAACAUAUUAGUUUUAGGAAAUAGCACCUGAAUUUAAGUCCCUUAAAAUUGUCUAUGUCUUCACGUCCAAGUCUCUAUAUUUGCAGGGCUGUGUACAAUCUAGACUGAACAUGCUUGACCUAAAAACAGAAGUAAUACCUGGGGCAAAGCACGAUGUGCACCACAGUCUUCUCUCUUUAGUGUGUUAAGAUAAAGUUGAUUCCCAGAGUAGCCUGCCAUCACUAACUCUGAGGGAUGGUGGGCUAAUUUUGAUAGAAGGAGCAGAGGUGGUAGUUAGGAGGAAGGUGACUCAUCAUCAUUGUAUCAGCAGGCAUUGAUGACUGGAAAUAUCAGGGGGCACAGCCUGAAAGAGAAUGGCUUAAUUGGAAUUGAUAGUGGGAACUUGGAAAUCAAUACAUAUGCACUGAACAGAAAAUGGUAUGCUAUAAUCUACUAUACACUGUAUGUGAAACCCAAGCUCCAAAUUUUUCGGCCCAUGCAAUGUCCAGUAAAAUUUCUCUUAGUUACAUUAUAAUUGCAAUGUACAUGUAUUUGAGGAAAAAAAAAGUGAAAGAAAAAGUAACUAAAGAAAAGUGGAAAUGCAAAACUUUGUUUUUAUUAAUGUUAAAAUUUAUUUUGAUCAACUUGCUAUUCUUAAAAUUGACCAAUCUUCUUCCCUUCCUUGCCUCUUCCAUGGUUUAUAGGAUUAUUUUUCAGGGCUGAUCAGUUGGUGUUACAUGUGACUACUAUGCUUAAUGCUAUCUGGCUUCUAACUUUAAGCACUGAAAAAAAGUCCUUCGUAUUUCUCAGUGUGUGAUUGAACUGAGAUGACCAUCCUAAGCCUCCUCAUUACAUAAAUCCUUACCUUCUCCAGAAGCAACGAAUGGUGUUGAGAAUAGCAUAUGUUACUACUCAGCCAUAUUCCAUAGCCUUUUCUCCAAGAUAUUUUUCCAAAGUUGCCCCUUUUCUGAAUCCCUUGCAAGCAAACAAACAACAAAACAAUGGGUAAUAAAAUAAUUGUUUAACUUUCAUUUAUAUGCUCUGAGAUUGAUGUGAUUUUGAUAAAUAACUAUAUUAAAAGACAAAUGGGAGUGGUGAUUUUGUGAAAAGCCCAUGCCUCUGCCCAUGGAAUAUGUGGCUUGGCCUGGAGCUCUUAUUUUACUUAUAUAUUUCUAAGCAGAAUUAUUCAAGAAUGUCUCUUAUUACAGGUCUUGAAACUUGGACAGCCAACAGAAAGGAAGCUAAUAAAUAAAUUUGUCAGAACACGAUUCUCAGUUUCACUUAUUUUGAAUUAAAGGUAACCUGGAAAAUGGAUUAGGAAAACAGCCUAUAAUCAGAGGAGUGACCCCAGUGAGACCCUGUCAUUAAAACUUUAGUGUUGAGCCUGCAAACCUCUGUUCCUCUGAUUAGGCAAUUUACUCCAUUUCCACCUUUCUGUCUGCCAAAACAUUUAGUGGCAAAACAUUUUCUAAUUCUCUAGACUCAUAAAAUGUUGUUUUGAAAAAAAGUAAAACAGAAUGGAUUACCUUUUUAAGCUGUCUAUCAUAAUGUAAUCAGAAAACAUGAGGGAUUAAUAGAUAAUAUUGUAAAGAGGCAAAGGCAGCAGAUGUUAUUUAGAUGAGCAGAAGGUCACAGACCUCUGUUGAGGAUUGAAAGCUUGAGGUACGUGCCUUUGUUCCUCAGUGUGUGUGGAUCAGAGUGAUUACUGAUAUCAGUUAGCAACAUGGUGGAGGGGACAAACUGGGGCUGCAUUUUCACUAUGUUUAUUAUUGCUCAAGGUCAAAAAGUGACUGUGUAGUGCCUCAGUUUUUACAUCUUUGUGUUAUCAAUAUUUUUUUCUAUUACCUUACAAGUUUAUUUUGAUGCUGUAAUGAUGAGACAGUGUUUUGAAAAGUUCUAAAUAAAUAAAAGGGUAUUCUCUAACUUUUAA